GAUGAACGCUAGCUACAGGCUUAACACAUGCAAGUCGAGGGGCAGCAUGAACUUAGCUUGCUAAGUUUGAUGGCGACCGGCGCACGGGUGAGUAACACGUAUCCAACCUGCCGAUGACUCGGGGAUAGCCUUUCGAAAGAAAGAUUAAUACCCGAUGGCAUAAUUCUUCCGCAUGGUAGAACUAUUAAAGAAUUUCGGUCAUCGAUGGGGAUGCGUUCCAUUAGGUUGUUGGCGGGGUAACGGCCCACCAAGCCUUCGAUGGAUAGGGGUUCUGAGAGGAAGGUCCCCCACAUUGGAACUGAGACACGGUCCAAACUCCUACGGGAGGCAGCAGUGAGGAAUAUUGGUCAAUGGACGAGAGUCUGAACCAGCCAAGUAGCGUGAAGGAUGACUGCCCUAUGGGUUGUAAACUUCUUUUAUACGGGAAUAAAGUGAGGCACGUGUGCCUUUUUGUAUGUACCGUAUGAAUAAGGAUCGGCUA
rnacentral:rRNA from 1 species